rnacentral:rRNA from 1 species
UACGAAGGGGGCUAGCGUUGCUCGGAAUCACUGGGCGUAAAGCGCACGUAGGCGGAUUGUUAAGUCGAGGGUGAAAUCCUGGAGCUCAACUCCAGAACUGCCUUCGAUACUGGCGAUCUUGAGUCCGGGAGAGGUGAGUGGAACUCCGAGUGUAGAGGUGAAAUUCGUAGAUAUUCGGAAGAACACCAGUGGCGAAGGCGGCUCACUGGCCCGGUACUGACGCUGAGGUGCGAAAGCGUGGGGAGCAAACAGG